CGAAAGAUGGUGAACUAUUCCUGGCCAGGAUGAAGCCAGAGGAAACUCUGGUGGAGGUCCGUAGCAAUUCUGACGUGCAAAUCGAUUGUCAGAGCUGGGUAUAGGGGCGAAAGACUAAUCGAAUUGUCUAGUAGCUGGUUCCCCCCGAAGUUUCCCUCAGGAAAGCUGGUACUUAUUCAAUGAUUUUCAUCUUUUAAAGCGAAUGAUUAGAGGUGUUGGGGACGAAAUGUCCUCAGCCUAUUCUCAAACUUUAAAUGGGUGAGAUGUCAAGCUUUCUUUUUUGAAGCAUUGGCGAUAAAUCAGAGUAUCAAGUGGGCCAAUUUU
rnacentral:rRNA from 1 species